CGUGCUCGGCCUGCUGGGGCGCGAGCAGGUGGACGUGCGGGUCGAUGGCGCCCGGCGUGGCGAUCAUGUUCUCGCCCGCCAGCACCUCGGUGCCGGCGCCGACGAUCAGACGGCGGUCCACGCCGUUCUGCGUGUGCGGGUUGCCCGCCUUGCCGAUGCCGACGAUCCGGCCGUCCUUGACCCCGAUGUCGCCUUUGACGACGCCGAGCACCGGGUCGAGCACGACGACGUUGGUGAUCACCAGGUCGAGCGCGAUCGUGACGUUCCUGGAGCCGGGAUCGGCCGCCAUGCCGUCGCGGGCG
rnacentral:sRNA from 1 species